UACAGAGGUCCCAAGCGUUGUUCGGAUUCACUGGGCGUAAAGGGUGCGUAGGUGGUUGGGUAAGUUUGGUGUGAAAUCUCCGAGCUCAACUCGGAAACGGCACUAAAAACUGCCUGGCUGGAGGGUCGGAAAGGAGACUGGAAUUCUCGGUGUAGCGGUGAAAUGCGUAGAUAUCGAGAGGAACGCCAGUGGCGAAAGCGAGUCUCUGGACGACUCCUGACACUGAGGCGCGAAAGCUAGGGGAGCAAACAGG
rnacentral:rRNA from 1 species